GUGGCUCGCUUCACGGCUUCCCUGCGGCACCAGACACGGUCGCGCCAUGYCUGACACCUNGCGAGCAUCGUUUACGGCUGGGACUACCCGGGUAUCUAAUCCGGUUCGUGCYCCCAGCUUUCGUCCCUCACCGUCGAACCYGUUCUGGUAAGACGCCUUCGCCACAGGUGGUCCCACAGGGAUUACAAGAUUUCACUCCUACCCCUGUAGUACYUCUUACCUCUCCCGGUUCCAAGCCUGGYAGUAUCCCCCGAAAGCCUAAUAGUUGAGCUAUYAGAUUUYYYGGAUUAYUKAYCAAACCGGCUACGGACCCUUUAGACCCAAUCAAUCACGAUUUNNNUUUYGGGCCGCCGGUGUUACCGCGGCGGCUGGCACCGGUCUUGCCCGGCCCUUGCUAACAGGUGUAUUUUACACACCCGGACAGCCAGGYAUAUGAUGCUGGCACUCGGUGUCCCCUUAUCACGGUUUCCCGCAUUGUAAA
rnacentral:rRNA from 1 species